UACGAAGGGGGCUAGCGUUGCUCGGAAUUAUUGGGCGUAAAGAGCUCGUAGGCGGUUUGUCGCGUCUGCUGUGAAAACUGGAGGCUCAACCUCCAGCCUGCAGUGGGUACGGGCAGACUAGAGUGCGGUAGGGGAGAUUGGAAUUCCUGGUGUAGCGGUGGAAUGCGCAGGAUAUCAGGAGGAACACCGGUGGCGAAGGCGGGUCUCUGGGCCGUAACUGACGCUGAGGAGCGAAAGCGUGGGGAGCGAACAGG
rnacentral:rRNA from 1 species